AGUCGGUUUAAGGAUACGUUCGUUGGGUAGGGGAGCGUUCUGUAAGCCUGUGAAGGUGUGUCGUGAGGCAUGCUGGAGGUAUCAGAAGUGCGAAUGCUGACAUAAGUAACGAUAAAGCGGGUGAAAAGCCCGCUCGCCGGAAGACCAAGGGUUCCUGUCCAACGUUAAUCGGGGCAGGGUGAGUCGACCCCUAAGGCGAGGCCGAAAGGCGUAGUCGAUGGGAAACGGGUUAAUAUUCCCGUACUUGGUGUUACUGCGAAGGGGGGACGGAGAAGGCUAUGUUGGCCGGGCGACGGUUGUCCCGGUUUAAGCGUGUAGGUGUGUGUUCCAGGUAAAUCCGGUUCACUUUAACACUGAGGCGUGACGACGAGGCACUACGGUGCUGAAGCAACAAAUGCCCUGCUUCCAGGAAAAGCCUCUAAGCAUCAGGUAACAUCAAAUCGUACCCCAAACCGACACAGGUGGUCAGGUAGAGAAUACCAAGGCGCUUGAGAGAACUCGGGUGAAGGAACUAGGCAAAAUGGUGCCGUAACUUCGGGAGAAGGCACGCUGACACGUAGGUGAAGUGAUUUACUCAUGGAGCUGAAGUCAGUCGAAGAUACCAGCUGGCUGCAACUGUUUAUUAAAAACACAGCACUGUGCAAACACGAAAGUGGACGUAUACGGUGUGACGCCUGCCCGGUGCCGGAAGGUUAAUUGAUGGGGUCAGCGCAAGCGAAGCUCCUGAUCGAAGCCCCGGUAAACGGCGGCCGUAACUAUAACGGUCCUAAGGUAGCGAAAUUCCUUGUCGGGUAAGUUCCGACCUGCACGAAUGGCGUAAUGAUGGCCAGGCUGUCUCCACCCGAGACUCAGUGAAAUUGAACUCGCUGUGAAGAUGCAGUGUACCCGCGGCAAGACGGAAAGACCCCGUGAACCUUUACUAUAGCUUGACACUGAACAUUGAGCCUUGAUGUGUAGGAUAGGUGGGAGGCUUUGAAGUGUGGACGCCAGUCUGCAUGGAGCCGACCUUGAAAUACCACCCUUUAAUGUUUGAUGUUCUAACGUGGACCCGUGAUCCGGGUUGCGGACAGUGUCUGGUGGGUAGUUUGACUGGGGCGGUCUCCUCCUAAAGAGUAACGGAGGAGCACGAAGGUUGGCUAAUCCUGGUCGGACAUCAGGAGGUUAGUGCAAUGGCAUAAGCCAGCUUGACUGCGAGCGUGACGGCGCGAGCAGGUGCGAAAGCAGGUCAUAGUGAUCCGGUGGUUCUGAAUGGAAGGGCCAUCGCUCAACGGAUAAAAGGUACUCCGGGGAUAACAGGCUGAUACCGCCCAAGAGUUCAUAUCGACGGCGGUGUUUGGCACCUCGAUGUCGGCUCAUCACAUCCUGGGGCUGAAGUAGGUCCCAAGGGUAUGGCUGUUCGCCAUUUAAAGUGGUACGCGAGCUGGGUUUAGAACGUCGUGAGACAGUUCGGUCCCUAUCUGCCGUGGGCGCUGGAGAACUGAGGGGGGCUGCUCCUAGUACGAGAGGACCGGAGUGGACGCAUCACUGGUGUUCGGGUUGUCAUGCCAAUGGCACUGCCCGGUAGCUAAAUGCGGAAGAGAUAAGUGCUGAAAGCAUCUAAGCACGAAACUUGCCCCGAGAUGAGUUCUCCCUGAGACUUAGAGUCUCCUGAAGGAACGUUGAAGACGACGACGUUGAUAGGCCGGGUGUGUAAGCGCAGCGAUGCGUUGAGCUAACCGGUACUAAUGAACCGUGAGGCUUAACCUUACAACGCCGAAG
rnacentral:rRNA from 1 species